AAUUGCUAAAUUCUCUUUAAAAUGCGUUUUAUGCGUUUACAUCGACAUUUGUAUCACUUGGUACCACUGAUCUUAUUAAAGUGGAUAUGGCAUAGGACGAAAUAAGUGUGACCAAUUGAAGGUUGUAGUCUCUGUACACAAUAUGGCGGUGUAUACGAAUACGAACACAGUUUACUAUGACGAUGAUACGAAAUUCCACGUGUAAUUAAUUAUCUAUAGACGUAGAUGUAUAGCAGUUUUAUCCAAAAUAUUACUUUUUUUAUAAUAAAAAUAGUAAAAUAGUAAAAUAGUAAGAUUCCAAAAUUAAAAAAUGUGUUUAUUGUGGAAAAGGAAGUGAAAAUAAACAACAAACGUUUCAUAGCUGCAAGUAUGGAUUACUACAAUACAAUUAAGGACACAAGGACAAAAUAAGCUAUAACAAUACCCUUUAAACUUAUUUAUAAGUUUAGUAGUAGUAGUAUUAUUUAUUAGUAAAAUUAUUUAACAAGAUGGUCAUAAAUAAAAAUUUACGAUUUUUAGAC